ACUGACCAACACAGAAAGUCUUUUGAAAAUGCUACCAGUUUUAUUAAGCACUAUAUACCUUCCAGGGCUUCCCAGGUGGCACUAGUGGUAAAGAAGCCCCGUCAAUGCAGGAAAGAUCUUGGUGCCCCCAGCCUAAAAUAGGCAAAAGCUAAAGAACAUGAAAAAGUGGAAGCAGUGACAGAUCUUAUUUUCCUGGGCUCCACAAUCAUUGCGGAUGGUGAUUGCAGCCAAGAAAUUAAAAGAUGCU
rnacentral:lncRNA from 1 species